UAUCGGACCUUCGAGAAGAUCACCACAUGUCGGCUCUGUGAUGGGCUACACCACCUCAGACAGUCCACCAUUGAGUUCUUCAGUUCUGAGUUACUAUCAAACUGAAAGUCUUUCACGGAUCACUAGAUACGGGGGGAUGUUUGGGAGGCCCUCUGUGACCAGUGUAGCAGUGAGGACUACUCUGACAGACGACAGCGAGCCCGAUAGAAUUAUUCCAUCCAGCAGGAUCCGAUCAAGCAACCGACGGCUUUGUUGGCACACGUCAUUGCAAAUAGAUUGGUAAAAAUUCUAAACUUAUAUUAAUCUCAUUUUUAGUUGAUUAUAUAUUAGUUUUUAUUAAUUUAAAUUUUUUAUUUAUUGUAGACACAACAGUUGGGUCAUGUACUAUGGUAG
rnacentral:lncRNA from 1 species